AAAGACUUAGUCCUAACCUUACUGUUGGUUUUUGCUAGAUAUAUACAUGCGAGUAUCCGCAUUCCAGUGUAGAUGCCCUAGGUACCUUCAUGUAAGUCGAUAGGAGCGGGUAUCAGGCUCACCUUAAAUGUAGCCCAAGACGCCUAGCACUUGCCACGCCCCCACGGGUCCUCAGCAGUAGUUAACAUUAAGCAAUGAGUGUAAACUUGACUUAGUCAUAGCAAAUCCAGGGUCGGUAAAUCCUGUGCCAGCCACCGCGGUCAUACAGGAGACCCAAAUUAACAUUACUUGACGGCGUAAAGAGUGGUCGCAUGUUAUCUAAAUAACUAAGAUUAAAAAGCAACUGAGCUGUCAUAAGCCCAAGAUGCCUAUAAGGCCACUGUUUUCAAAGAAAAUCUUAGCCAAACGAUCAAUUGAAGCCACGAAAGCCAGGGCCCAAACUGGGAUUAGAUACCCCACUAUGCCUGGCCCUAAAUCUUGAUGCUUCCUAUUACCUUAGCAUCCGCCCGAGAACUACGAGCACAAACGCUUAAAACUCUAAGGACUUGGCGGUGUUCCAAACCCACCUAGAGGAGCCUGUUCUGUAAUCGAUGAUCCACGAUAAUACCUGACCAUUUCUUGCCAUAACAGCCUAUAUACCGCCGUCGCCAGCCCACCCUCUCCUGAGGGCUCAACAGUGGACGCAAUAGCCCAACUACGCUAAUACGACAGGUCAAGGUAUAGCCUAUGGAAUGGAAGCAAUGGGCUACAUUUUCUAACAUAGAACAUACGGCAAAGGGGCAUGAAACUGCCCCUGGAAGGUGGAUUUAGCAGUAAAGUGGGACAAUUGAGCCCUCUUUAAGCCGGCUCUGGAGCACGUACAUACCGCCCGUCACCCUCCUCAAAAGCGACCCAAUAUCCAAUAACUAAUAAGCUAUCCAGCCAAAGAUGAGGUAAGUCGUAACAAGGUAAGUGUACCGGAAGGUGCACUUAGACUAC
rnacentral:ncRNA from 1 species